rnacentral:rRNA from 1 species
CCUACGGGUGCCAGCAGUGAGGAAUAUUGGUCAAUGGGCGUAAGCCUGAACCAGCCAAGUCGCGUGAGGGAUGAAGGUUCUAUGGAUCGUAAACCUCUUUUAUAAGGGAAUAAAGUGUGGGACGUGUCCUAUUUUGUAUGUACCUUAUGAAUAAGGAUCGGCUAACUCCGUGCCAGCAGCCGAGGGAAUACGGAGGAUGGGAGCGUUAUCUGGAUUUAUUGGGUUAAAGGGGUGCGUAGGCGGACUGUUAGGUCAGCGGUAAAAGCCCGGGGCUCAACCCCGGAGUGCCGUUGAAACUGGCUGUCUUGAGAUGGCGAGAGGUAUGCGGAAUGCGCGGUGUAGGGGUGAAAUGCUUAGAUAUUGCGCAGAACUCCGAUUGCGAAGGCAGCAUACCGGCGGCGAUCUGACGCUGAGGCACGAAAGCGUGGGUAUCGAACAGGAUUAGAUACCCGGGUAGUC